rnacentral:rRNA from 1 species
GAGUCGUGAGUCUUAGGGACUCGGCAUACCGCUCAGUAACACGUGGAUAACCUGCCCUAUUGUCUGGAAUAACCUCGGGAAACUGAGAAUAAGGCCGGAUAGUUCACAAUGCCUGGAACGGUUUGUGAAUCAAGGUAGGAUGGGUCUGCGGCGUAUCAGGUUGUAGGGGGUGUAAAGGACCCCCUAGCCUUCGACGCGUACGGGUGUUGGGAGACAUAGCCCGGAGAUGGAUUCUGAGACACGAAUCCAGACCCUACGGGGUGCAGCAGGCGCGAAAACUUCACACUGCAGGAAACUGUGAUGAGGGAACUCCUAGUGCAUGCACUAUGUGUAUGUAGAUCCUACUCUUAACAAGUAGAGGGAAAGGGCUGGGAAAGACCGGUGCCAGCCGCCGCGGUAAUACCGGCAGCUCAAGUGGUCGUCGCUUUUAUUGGGCCUAAAACGUCCGUAGCCUGUUUGGUAAAUCUGUGGGUAAAUCAAUCCGCUCAACGGAUUGAAUUCUGCAGAGACUGCCAGACUAGGGACCGGGAGAGGUGUGGGGUACUCGAGGGGUAGGGGUAAAAUCCUGUCAUCCUUCGAGGACCACCAGUUGCGAAGGCGCCACACUGGAACGGAUCCGACGGUCAGGGACGAAGCCUAGGGGCACGAACCGGAUUAGAUACCCGGGUAGUCCUAGGUGUAAACGCUGUGAACUUGGUGUCGGGGGUCCGCAAGGGGUCCCCGGUGCCGGAGUGAAGAUGUUAAGCUCACUGCCUGGGGAGUACGGUCGCAAGGCUGAAACUUGAAGGAAUUGGCGGGGCAGCAC